rnacentral:rRNA from 1 species
AGUGAACGCUGGCGGUAGGCCUAACACAUGCAAGUCGAACGGCAGCACAGUAAGAGCUUGCUCUUACGGGUUGCGAGUGGCGGACGGGUGAGGAAUACAUCGGAAUCUACUUUUUCGUGGGUGAUAACGUAGGGAAACUUACGCUAAUACCGCAUACGACCUACGGGUGAAAGCAUUGGAUCUUCGGACCUUGCGCGAUUGAAUGAGCCGAUGUCGGAUUAGCUAGUUGGCGGGGUAAAGGCCCACCAAGGCGACGAUCCGUAGCUGGUAUGAGAGGAUGAGCAGCAAAACAGGAACGGAGACACGGACAAGAAUACGACGGGAGGCAGCAGUGGGGAAUAUGGGACAAUGGGCGAAAGCCUGAUAAAGCAAUAGCGAGUGGGAGAAGAAGGCCUAAGGGUUGUAAAGCCAUUUUGUUGGGAAAGAAAAGCAGCAGGUUAAUACCCCGCUGUUAUGACGGUACCCAAAGAAUAAGCACCGGCUAACUUCGUG